ACCACUUCUCGGCCUUCUGGGUAAGAGCAAGUGUAGUAUCUAUUUAUAUCAGUUUAAUAUCUGAUACAUCCUCUAUGGGAGGAUAAUAUAUUGAAUGGAUUUUUGGAGUUAGGAGGUGGACUAGGAACUUGCCCCACUCCACCUGUUGACCUGGUAUUGUAGUACCUCCAGGAAUGGUGCAUCCCUU
ensembl:snRNA U2 U2 spliceosomal RNA